GAGUUUGAUCAUGGCUCAGGAGGAACGCUGGCGGCGUGCCUAACACAUGCAAGUCGAGCGAGAAAUAGUCAGACGGAGAUUUCGGUUGAAGGAUGGUUAUGGAAAGCGGCGGACGGGUGAGUAACGCGUAGGCAACCUGCCUCAUGCAGAGGGAUAGCCUCGGGAAACCGGGAUUAAAACCUCAUAAGGCCAAGGGGACACAUGUUUUCGUGGUCAAAGAUUUAUCGGCAUGAGAUGGGCCUGCGUCUGAUUAGCUGGUUGGUGAGGUAACGGCUCACCAAGGCGACGAUCAGUAGCCGACCUGAGAGGGUAAACGGCCACAUUGGAANUGAGACACGGUCCAAACUCCUACGGGAGGCAGCAGUGGGGAAUAUUGCACAAUGGGCGAAAGCCUGAUGCAGCAACGCCGCGUGAGCGAAGAAGGCCUUUGGGUCGUAAAGCUCUGUCGAUAGGGAAGAAAAA
rnacentral:rRNA from 1 species